GGGAUUGGUUUCGGGUUGAAGUAAAUAACUCAUAUAUUUUGUUGAGAGCAUUCUCUAGUUGAAGCAAUUUUUCAUUCAUGCUUUCCUCUAUCUGGCUAACGCUGGUUUGUAACAUGAUAUUAUGAGAUUCAGAAAAUAGGGUUUACGAUAUGUGUGUAAGUUUAGUCUGAUUCUUUUCCUUUUGCCUGCUAAUGACGUCUAACUGUCUCUAUACUAUAGUGACACCUGUCUCUAUACUAUAGUGACACAUGUCUCUAUACUAUAGUGACACCUGUCUCUAUACUAUAGUGACAC
rnacentral:lncRNA from 1 species